rnacentral:rRNA from 1 species
CCUACGGGAGGCAGCAGUGAGGAAUAUUGGUCAAUGGACGAGAGUCUGAACCAGCCAAGUAGCGUGAAGGAUGACUGCCCUAUGGGUUGUAAACUUCUUUUAUAUGGGAAUAAAAUGUUCCACGUGUGGGAUUUUGUAUGUACCAUAUGAAUAAGGAUCGGCUAACUCCGUGCCAGCAGCCGCGGUAAUACGGAGGAUCCGAGCGUUAUCCGGAUUUAUUGGGUUUAAAGGGAGCGUAGGUGGACUGUUAAGUCAGUUGUGAAAGUUUGCGGCUCAACCGUAAAAUUGCAGUUGAAACUGGCAGUCUUGAGUACAGUAGAGGUGGGCGGAAUUCGUGGUGUAGCGGUGAAAUGCUUAGAUAUCACGAAGAACUCCGAUUGCGAAGGCAGUUCACUGGACUGCAACUGACACUGAGGCUCGAAAGUGUGGGUAUCAAACAGGAUUAGAUACCCCAGUAGUC